ensembl:snoRNA
GACAGAUGGUGGUUUAUUCUCCUAACGGUCAGUAAAUGCCACUGAGGGCACUGCCGAAAAUGCCAGUGGCUCAGCUGAUGCCAGUAG